rnacentral:misc_RNA from 1 species
AGCAAAGUAAUUUGUUGCCACUUCUCAUCAGACGGAAAAUUGCUAGCUAGUGGUGGCCAUGAUAAAAAGGCUGUAUUAUGGUACACGGAUAAUUUAAAGCCGAAAACUACCCUUGAAGAACAUUCAUCAUUGAUUACAGAUGUCCGUUUCAGUCCAAGUAUGCCACGCCUUGCAACAUCUUCAUUCGACAAAACUGUCAGGGUUUGGGAUGCUGACAAACCUAGUUACUCCUUACGCACUUUUACGGGACAUUCUGCCUCUGUCAUGUCACUGGACUU